rnacentral:rRNA from 1 species
AUUGAACGCUGGCGGCAGGCUUAACACAUGCAAGUCGAGCGGAGCGAGGGUGCUUGCACCUUAGCUUAGCGGCGGACGGGUGAGUAAUGCUUAGGAAUCUGCCUAUUAGUGGGGGACAACAUUCCGAAAGGAAUGCUAAUACCGCAUACGCCCUACGGGGGAAAGCAGGGGAUCUUCGGACCUUGCGCUAAUAGAUGAGCCUAAGUCGGGUUAGCUAGUUGGUGGGGUAAAGGCCUACCAAGGCGACGAUCUGUAGCGGGUCUGAGAGGAUGAUCCGCCACACUGGGAAUGGGACACGGCCCAGACUCCUACGGGAGGCAGCAGUGGGGAAUAUUGGACAAUGGGCGGAAGCCUGAUCCAGCCAUGCCGCGUGUGUGAAGAAGGCCUUUUGGUUGUAAAGCACUUUAAGCGAGGAGGAGGCUACUUAGAUUAAUACUCUGGGAUAGUGGACGUUACUCGCAGAAUAAGCACCGGCUAACUCUGUGCCAGCCGCCGCAGUAAUAC